ensembl:lncRNA
GUUCAAGAAGCUUUAAAUGAGUCAAGGCUGGGCAAGAUGGUACAUUUCACAGAGCAUUAAAUCAGGGUGCCAUUGUAUACACACCACAAAGAACAAGUAGACAUUAUUUCACCGGCUAAGGAAGUUUGACGUGUGUAUCUCAAGUAAGAUUCGGCUGCUAAGCCAUUAGGUAUGCUCAGUAAAGGAAAUGGUAGUGGUGUGCCUCAAAUGCUACACCCAAAAAAACAUUACAGUAAAAAGCAACAAAUAUAUAAACGGCAUUUUCACUAAUCUGGGUUGAAAGAUGAAUCUCUUGAACCCAUUCAAUUAUGUAAACCAAUUGCUUAGCGGUGACAACUUUUUCUCCCCCCUUACUGUAUUCCUAAAUCUAAGAACUGGACAGAUCACAGAUCACUGCCUCAGCUAAUGUUUUAAUCAAUUUUACAGAUCAAGCUGCAAAAAAUACAAUGAAAUCAAACAAAGAAAAUCCAUCAAGCUUGAUUUUCACUCGGAUGAAUUGGUUGAUUGAUACAAGUCGUUUUACUAUGCAGGAGACGGCUAGCACUGCAUGCCAUAUAUCAAGCCCCUAUCAUCAUAAUAAAACAGUGAUAGCCUUCUAUGGUAGAGGCAUUAUCUAUGCCUUUUAUUUUUUGUAUCUUUAUUUAACUAGGCAAGUCAGUUACAAACAAAUUCUUAUUUUCAAUGACGGCCUAGGAACAGUGGGUUAACUGCCUGUUCAGGGGCAGAACGACAGAUUUGUACCUUGUCAGCUCAGGGAUUUGAACUUGCAACCUUUCGGUUACUAGUCCAACGCUCUAAGCACUAGGCUACCCUGCCGCCCCAAGCUACCCUGCCGCCCCAAGCUACCCUGCCGCCCCAAGCUACCCUGCCGCCCCAAGCUACCCUGCCGCCCCAAGCUACCCUGCCGCCCCAAGCUACCCUGCCGCCCCAAGCUACCCUGCCGCCCCAAGCUACCCUGCCGCCCCAAGCUACCCUGCCUUUGAAGCUAUGUCGAACACAGAAGUCAAAUGUUUUGUAUAAUGAUGGUCAAUGUCGCAGUUCACAAUGCUUACAGCUUGACAUAAACACAAAGGUAUACCAAAGUAUGCACAAACGAGGUAUACCUGGAUUCCUUCCUUUUAAAUAUUUCAAUGUCGGGAAUAGUUACAUCUUGUAACAUCAGUCUUCCAGUCAAGCCUUCAGUUUGAUUAUGGGCAAAAAAAGAAAGAAAGUAUUUUGGGAGAUCCUAAUGCUUCUUUUCCCCACAGCGUCUAAGGACUCAUCUAUAUUUACAUCAUAUACCAUUUAACCUGCAGCACUGUACAGGUCUGUAAAUAAAUCAAUGACAAAAAAAAUGUGACGACAAUAAAGCUGAAAUCUAUGCCUUCUACC